rnacentral:rRNA from 1 species
UACGAAGGGGGCUAGCGUUGCUCGGAAUCACUGGGCGUAAAGCGCACGUAGGCGGCUUUUAAGUCAGGGGUGAAAUCCUGGAGCUCAACUCCAGAACUGCCUUUGAUACUGAGAAGCUUGAGUCCGGGAGAGGUGAGUGGAACUGCGAGUGUAGAGGUGAAAUUCGUAGAUAUUCGCAAGAACACCAGUGGCGAAGGCGGCUCACUGGCCCGGUACUGACGCUGAGACGCGAAAGCGUGGGGAGCGAACGAGG